UUGAUAAUUGUUGGGAUUUUGAUAAUUGUUGGGGUUUUGAUAAUUGUUGGAGUUUUGAUAAUUGUUGGGAUUUUGAGAAUUGUUGGAAUUUUGAGAAUUGUUGGGAUCCAUUUCACUAAAAAAAGAUUAAAACUUCAAAAGAAAGACUAAUUAGAAAGUUAAUAAUAGAUUAAGAUAGUGAAAAAUUUGGUUUUUUUUUCUGUGUCCAAAUGAAAUGAACCAAAUCUCUAUUUGUAGAGAAAAAAAA
rnacentral:lncRNA from 1 species